rnacentral:lncRNA from 1 species
AGGACGCCCCGCGACUCUAGGCGGCGGGUUCUGGAAUCCACGCUGGACAUGGCCCGCAGCUAGACUCCCUCCCGGGCUGAGUCCACCGUGUCGUGCUGCGGGUCUACACGGCCGCCAGCGUACUCCCCGCCCUGUCUCCACACUACGCCUGAUUGGCGAGCCGCGGGGCGACGACCUCGUCCGCGCGUCUCCUGGAGACGUGGAAAUGCAUCUUGUUCCAGUACAUCACAUUCCAGGGAGCAAAGAAUUCUUUUACAAAGCCGGGUGUCAUCAUUUUCUUAGAAGAAGAACCAUUGCAACAGGGCUCAAAGUUGACUCUGCUGGAAAGAGAAACUUGACCGAGCACUUGCCGUGCUUCAGGCAUCGUUCAAGGCAACAGGGUUAUGGUCUUGAAUAGGAGAGACAGAGUUCUCAUCUCUAGACAGACUGGCAGUAAGCCCGAAAAUAGAUCAAUACACAAUAUAAUUUCAGAUAGUGACUUUUUGCUACAAAGCCAAAAGUAAAU